GCUGCUUCGGUCUCCUUCAUACACCUCCCCUUCGAAGCCGACUUCAUGAGCUUUUGCUUAUUUUCAUUUUUUCCUUCAUUUCACCCCUCUUCCACGUGCUGCUCCAUCAAAACUUCCCCUCACACCGUGAGCUUCAAGCUGCUGUGAAGACCGAAGCCACUCAUCCCCUCCCCCACUCACAUACGCCCACCUCCACUCACGAUUCCCCUCUGCAAGCCCCCCCCCCCCCCUUUGGUCAACAAACCAGCCUUGUUUUCACUUUGGUUGACUCAUCUCACAGCUCCAUUUCGUUGGCUCCCAUUCGUGCGGCCCACAGCCCGUUGAAGGCCAGCGAUUUCUCCCUGCUGCUUCGAAGACUAGCCAUCCAUCUCCUUCAAUCGAGGCCCCAUCAGAGCCCACGCAUCCAGCGCCUUCACGUCCGAGAGUUUGCAGCCAGCAGCGAGCUUGUGGUCGAUUUCAACCGGCCCAAGCUUCCCUCGGCCUCGCCGUGAGCCCGAGUCUCGGCCGCCGUUGCGCCGCUGUCGCCGUGAGCCGAUUUUCGUGCUAACCAUUGAGUUGCGUUCUAAUCCUUAAUUAGUGGGCUAAUGACACUUAGAGGUGUGUUAGUUUGCUAAUUGAUGGAUUAAUUAGGUUAAUUAGGCUUAGGAUAGCUUAGUUAGAUUAAGUAUACAGUUAGUAUUUAGUUAGUUUAAUUAGUUUAGUUAGGUGGAUUAGUUAGGAAUUAGUUAGUUUAUUUAAUUAGUGUCCUUAGAUUAAGUUUAAUAGAAUGGUUAGAUUUAAUUGUUAGUAGAUUAUAUAGCUUAGUUAGUUUAGGUUAAUUUAAUUAAAUGCUUUAAAUUUAUUUAUUUCGUAAUUUAUUUAAUUUCUGGUAAUUUACUUAAUUAUUAAUUAUUUUUCGGAAAUUAGAUCGGGAUAGUCAGUGACCGGAAUUUCGUGCUGAUUGUAAUGGUGUGUUCAAUUUUUGCAAUUGAGUGUUAAUUUAUGCAAAUUGAGUACUGAUUUGGGAAUUGAGUAUUUAAUUCCAAAAAUUUGUGAAUUUUGAUAUUUAUUCAGAAAAUUCCGGGUGUCGGAUGUUAACACUGAAAAUGGUUUUAUAUACUAUAUAAAACAAUGAGAUUUUAAAUUGGAGGUUAUGAAUUUUCUAGGUCCAAUCUGACCGUGUACCCACACACGACUAAUUUACCGUGUAUUUUUAAUACGAAGAAAAUAGGCUAGGAUCACUAUCUUAAUUGAGGCAUUUGAGUGCAAUGCAUAGUGUCCUGGACCGAAAUUGAUUGGUCGUGUGUUGAUUAAGAGAACCCAUCUCGAACAAUUAUGCUGGACAUUACUAAAUCCCUUUUUGGGGUUACCCAUGUAUUUGGGUAGCGGGUUGCAGUAGAUUCUGGACCUAUGCUCCUCCGGUAAAGUUGUCAAUGAGACGUAGCCAUGCUCAAUGGGGAAGAGACGAUACCUGGCUAUACCAGUAGACAGUCGAACAUGGGAGUCGGUUGUGCCUUGAGUGGCUUAAUUACCAAUUGCAACGCAUGAUUGUUUGAAUUUGAUGCGCCUAAUUAUGAGACAAAACUGUGUAGCAUGGUAUGAGACAUGUCAUAACGGUUUGGCCUUAUAAUCGGGACCCUUGUGAUGGUGAGGUAUUCCAAUUGUUAUGUGCAUUGAUUAUAUGCAAUGUGCUGAAGAGAGGUAAGUCCUCUGUGUUAAUUGUGUGGUUGUGUGAUUAGGAUACUUCUAGGUGUAUUUCCCUCCUAAUCAGGGCUUAGACUGUGAACUCACUGAGAUUUAUAACUUACCCCGUCGUGGGCUUAAAUUUUUCAGGGCUGUAGAAGGAGGACAUGGAGCUGAGCUAAGGUGACCUGAAGAUUAGGUCGAAUAGGACAGCCUCUUUCUGAGAACUAGUCUUUUGGGUAUAGACGUUUGUAAAUGACUUAGUAUGUUUAUAAAAGUGUGGUUUGUUUGUGAAUGUGAUGUCCUGUUUUUCUAUCCCGAGAUGAUUACUGUCAGGGGAUUUAUUUUUGUUUCCGCAUGUGCAAUAAAAUGAAAGGGUCGGUGACUUGUCCUG
rnacentral:lncRNA from 1 species